GGCGGCAGGCUUGGAUCCCGCGGGGAAAGGCUUUGGUAGAGCCCGUCGGAGCAGUAGGAGAGAGACUCCCGCCCAGAUGGGCUCCAAACCGGAACUCCAGAGGGCCCUUCUGAUGUCCCUCAGUUCUCUCCUGACCUUGAGGAUGCCUGUCCCAUUUCAGAGGCGAAGCCACUGAGUCUCUGAGUCUCGCCGUCUUGGAACAGCUGCCGCGUGUCUGCUUAUCUGGUUCAUGCUUUCUAAUUUUCAGGAAACGCUUAUGGUCUGAGCUAGGACUUCCAGGAAAGUGAAAGAGCAGGAAGAACUGAUGGAAAAUCCACAUGGGGAAAUGCACAAAGUUGAGGAUCCUGAACAGAAGAUUUAAAAACCUCCGGGAUCCAGUGUUUACCACAUGCUCUUCAGGAGCCACACUUAAAACAGGAAUGAGCUGGUCCCACUGGGCCACAUGAUGGACCCAGAGGAGAGUGCUCUUACAGACAUCCCCUGCCUCCUCCACAGCAAGGCAGACUGGCCCACCACAGAGACCCAAUCCACAAUGAACACAGGUGACACUCGGCGAGCUCAGAGACCCUUUACUACCUAAGGCAGGAUCCUAGCCCCAAGAGAAAAAAAAAAAGUCAAGAUGAAGGAUAAAGAGGACUGGAAAAGAAACUUCCAGAGGUUGACAGAUUUUCAAACUCAUUGAAGAUAAUGUGCCCUCUGUGACCAACAUGUCUUGGGACUGGCAUGGGACAGAUGUCAGGAACGGGAGCUAGACUAGACCCAGAGCUGAACCAAGAGAGAAAAGAGGAAAUUGAUGGUCUAGUUCCUUUGAGAAGCACAACGUGGACAAGAAACCCAUGGAAAAGGGUCCAUGGUCUGCCAGGGAGUUGAACAAUUCCAUCCAAAAAAAGUUUGCUGGGUCUUCUGGCUGGGAAGAUGUUGGGGGAGAGGAUCAAGAGGAGUGGCCCCUGGUUGACCCUCCACUAGUACCUGGGCAGUCAAAGCCUUCUCACCUCCUCCCUUGUCCUUGGAAUGUACACCCUGUUUAGUGUCUCCACUGUGGGGGCUGUUCCAAGGACAUAACUGUUGAGAGUAUAAGGUGUUGAGAACAAUUAAAUGGCAUACAUGCCUGAACCAAGUUAAAACCUCUCUAUAAACUUUAAACAUUUGUCAGGUGGGUGCAGAGAUCUACUUGUUUUGUGGCCACCUAAAACAAGCCUCUCAUAUAUGUUCCCUUGUUUAUUAAACCUGCUACCUACUA